AUUUCACACCAGACUCUCUGACCUGUGGGGACACUGGACCAGACAUAGGAGGAGGGAAUUCUUGGCUGCAGACAGAAGGAAAGAAAUCAAGAAAACCAAACCGGAUGGAAUCUCACUAAGAAGCCCUAGCUGGUCUUGAACUUGCUAUGUAGACCAGGCUGGCCUGAAACUCACAGAGCUCCACCUGUCUCUGCCUCUGUCUCCCACGUGCUGGGGUUAAAGGCAUCUCUCACCAAGCCCAACCUGAACUAUCUCAAUACUGUAAAUAUGAACGACAGUUCCUUUGCGGUUCUGUGACGUUUGGCAAUGCAUGCUUUCCCUUAUGUCAUAUGCCACAAGAGAUUCCCUUCUUUAUCUGGUUUUCCCAUUGCUUUAAAUGCCUGAGUCCACUCCUACCUCAGGAUGAGGUGCACAUUAACCUAUAUUUUGUUCUGCCUUUCCCUAGUGUCCUUCUCUGUUUGUUUCCACAGCCCUGCCCUGUGCAGCCCCAGUGCUGCCUCUCACACUCAGGUCUGGUCUCCAUUUCUUUUUCUUCCUACACUUUAAGUCCAAUCACACUGUCCACACCUCCAGCUUGUACUUUCCUCAGCCACCAAGGACUUCACACAAAUCCUGCAUUCCUUCACAAUGUUCACAGCCUAAGGACACACACCCAGCCUCUGGGAGUGCAGCCUGGAGGCCACAGCCCUCCUGAUGCUUCGCCACCUCCAAACCAUUGCUCACGUCCUGCCUUCAGGACUCUGAGAAACCACUAUAUUGGAUGGAAGAUCUCUCGUGCUCUCUCUCUCUCUCUCUCUCUCUCUCUCUCUCUCUCUCUCUCUCCCUCUCUCCUUCUCUCUCUCCAUCUCCCCCUCCACCCCCAUCCUCUUCACCCCAUGUCUCCACAGAGAUCCUCAGAGUGUCCAGUGUCCAGUCACUGCUGUUACUGGAGGCUUCCCAGUGCAUUUCAUAACGGGGACCGACCCUGAGGCCCAUGAGUUGCGGCACUAAAAGCCUCGCAGCCGGCUCAUCAUCCCCAUCACAGCAAGCACUGUACCUGAGCUGAGCUUAAGGCCCACACAGAAGGAAGCUGACCCAAAGAGAGCAAGAAAGAGCCCUGGAACACCUGGGCUCAGCCCUGUCUGCAGUCCCCAAGCUGGGCCAGGCUCCCUUCUCCAGAGCUCAUGGAUUUACUUUAAGCCCCUUUGUAACAGGUUCCUGCUCAGGGACAUCCCUCCUUUAUUCCUAUGCUGGAAGGAUGGGUGAGAUGUGGUGACUGUCAUUCUCAUCCAUGGUGACGCUGAGCAGAAAUCCUUCCUCAAAGCGAAGGACCCUGGCCUCAGGAUGGAGGUGAACAGAGACGAGCCUGGCAGUCUGGAGCCACAGUACCACUGGGCAUUCAGCACAGGGAGGGAGCAGGAGCCCUGGCUGAGACACCCCUCCCUCGGAGAUUUACCCUUCAGCGUCUGCCCAACCACAUAGUCCAAGGAUGUCAAGAGCCAGAAGGGACCCAUGACUAGGCCCUCCCUGUGCAUGGUUAAACUGCAAUCCCAGGAGGGAAUCAAACUUGUCGCGCGGUGACCAUGAAUUGUUUCCUGCCCAAGCAGACACAGAACUCCAGCCUUCCCAUCAGCCCCCUGGGCCCUGGACAUGCUGCAGGCCUCUGCGGUGGCCGGAGGGCUGAGCAGCUGCUGGUCGGUUGCUUCCGGGUAUACCAUGCGGACAUGAUCUGUGCUGUCCCACAGAUGCCUGAAAGCUGAGCCAGGACACCAAGACAGCUGCUGUUCCUGAUCUGUUGGCCACACAGGGAAGGAGAGUGGCAGGCCAGGUCUGUCCCCUGCGGACUGCUCCCUCAGUGCCAGCUGCAGAGCCAGAGAAGCUAAGGAACCCCCCAGUAGUGUACAAUUGAGUCACAUGCUUGGGUGACCCUCCAUCAGUCUGACCUCACUGCCCAAGGUCUUAAUGCCUACAUCCAGGGGGUUAGAUCCCAAUGCCAACUGGGGCCAGGCAGAUGAGGCCAGUGGCUGGCUGGAGGGUCCUGUGAGGACAGAGAGAGCGCACUGCUGAUCUCCACACCAUCCAGGACAACCUGUUCAAGGCGAACUCCUGGGAGCUUUCAGUUUUUUCAAAAGAAGCUGGGAAUCUGGGUUUUUAUGUGAAACUUCUCUAUUUUUAAAUGUUGGCAACAAAUUGAGAUUUCUUUAAGGGAAAAAAAAAAAAAAAACACUGCAAGCCAACC
rnacentral:lncRNA from 1 species